rnacentral:rRNA from 1 species
UAAUAGCUCACUAGUCGAGAGGUCCUGCGCCGAAAAUGUCCGGGGCUGAAACACACUACCGAAGCUUAGGAAUUGAUGAACGUCAAUUGGUAGAGGAGCAUUCUUAACGGGGCGAAGCUGUACCGGAAGGAGCAGUGGACUGUUAAGAAGAGAGAAUGCCGGAAUGAGUAGCGAGAGGAAGGUGAGAAUCCUUCCGGCCGAAUAUCUAAGGUUUCCAGAGUAAAGCUGAUCUGCUCUGGGUAAGUCGGGGCCUAAGGCGAGGUCGAAAGACGUAGUCGAUGGAUAACAGGUAAAGAUUCCUGUACUGUAUCAUAACAGAACUGUGGGGACGCAGACAGAGAGCAUAAGCCGGGAAUGGAAAAACCGGUACAAGCGAGGUAGGAGUGCAUCAGGCAAAUCCGGUGCACAAUCUGAAGACGUGAUGUGGGGCGUAAAGCCGGAAGUAUGUGAGCUGGCUGCCAAGAAAAGCCGCUAUUGUUUAUGAUAUACCCGUACCGUAAACCGACACAGGUGGAUGAGGAGAGAAUCCUAAGGCCGACGGGAGAAGCAUUGUUAAGGAACUCGGCAAAAUGACUCCGUAACUUCGGGAGAAGGAGUGCCAUGUAAAAGUGGCCGCAGAGAAUUGGCUCAAGCAACUGUUUAGCAAAAACACAGGUCUAUGCAAAACCGAAAGGUGAGGUAUAUGGGCUGACGCCUGCCCGGUGCUGGAAGGUUAAGAGGAGAGGUUAGCGCAAGCGAAGCUUUGAAUUUAAGCCCCAGUAAACGGCGGCCGUAACUAUAACGGUCCUAAGGUAGCGAAAUUCCUUGUCGGGUAAGUUCCGACCCGCACGAAAGGUGUAACGAUUUGGGCACUGUCUCAACGAGGGACCCGGUGAAAUUGAAAUACCUGUGAAGAUGCAGGUUACCCGCGACUGGACAGAAAGACCCCAUGGAGCUUUACUGUAACCUGACAUUGGGUUUUGAUACAUUACGUACAGGAUAGGUGGGAGGCUUGGAAAGCUGGACGCUAGUCUGGCUGGAGCCGACGUUGGGAUACCACCCUUGAUGUAUUGAAAUUCUAACCGCGAGAGUAACGAAAUCCGGGACAGUGUCAGGCGGGCAGUUUGACUGGGGCGGUCGCCUCCGAAAGAGUAACGGAGGCGCCCAAAGGUUCCCUCAGCGCGGCCGGAAAUCGCGCGAAGAGUGUAAAGGCAGAAGGGAGCUUGACUGCGAGUCAAACACGACGAGCAGGUACGAAAGUAGGGCUUAGUGAUCCGGUGGUACCGAGUGGAAGGGCCAUCGCUCAACGGAUAAAAGCUACCCUGGGGAUAACAGGCUAAUCUCUCCCAAGAGUCCAUAUCGACGGGGAGGUUUGGCACCUCGAUGUCGGCUCAUCACAUCCUGGGGCUGAAGUAGGUCCCAAGGGUUCGGCUGUUCGCCGAUUAAAGUGGUACGUGAGCUGGGUUCAGAACGUCGUGAGACAGUUCGGUCCCUAUCCAUCGCGGGCGCAAGAGAUUUGAAGGGGGCUGCUCCUAGUACGAGAGGACCGGAGUGGACGAACCGCUGGUGUACCAAUUAUCCCGCCAGGGGUACAGUUGGGUAGCUACGUUCGGAAAGGAUAAACGCUGAAAGCAUCUAAGCGUGAAACCAGCCUUAAGAUGAGAUCUCUCAUAGAGCAAUCUAGUAAGACACCUUAAAGAAGAUGAGGUUGAUAGGUCGGGAGUGUAAGUACAGCAAUGUAUUGAGCGGACCGAUACUAAUAUGUCGAGGGCUUGACUUA